GUCCAUUGGCCUGGUUCCCAGAAAUGGUAUUGUGAACCGAAUGAGAGCCUAUGAGUCACCUUCGGAUGGUGUGUUAAUCUACUCCAGGUUCCUGCCCAGUAAAGGCUGGUACCCCUUUACAGCUGGGUGGACUGGGAACAUGGAAACAGA